rnacentral:rRNA from 1 species
UGGGGAAUAUUGCACAAUGGGCGCAAGCCUGAUGCAGCCAUGCCGCGUGUAUGAAGAAGGCCUUCGGGUUGUAAAGCACUUUCAGCGGGGAGGAAGGCGUUAAGGUUAAUAACCUUGGCGAUUGACGUUACCCGCAGAAGAAGCACCGGCUAACUCCGUGCCAGCAGCCGCGGUAAUACGGAGGGUGCAAGCGUUAAUCGGAAUUACUGGGCGUAAAGCGCACGCAGGCGGUCUGUCAAGUCGGAUGUGGAAUCCCCGGGCUCAACCUGGGAACUGCAUCUGAUACUGGCAAGCUUGAGUCUCGUAGAGGGGGGUAGAAUUCCAGGUGUAGCGGUGAAAUGCGUAGAGAUCUGGAGGAAUACCGGUGGCGAAGGCGGCCCCCUGGACGAAGACUGACGCUCAGGUGCGAAAGCGUGGGGAGCAAACAGG